UGGCUGUCGUCAGCUCGUGUCGUGAGAUGUUGGGUUUAAGUCCCGCAACGAGCGCAACCCCUAUCCCUCAGUUGCCAUCAUUAAGUUGGGCACUCUGUGGAGACUGCCGGUGUCAAACCGGAGGAAGUGGGGAUGACGUCAAGUCCUCAUGGCCCUUAUGACCAGGGCUACACACGUGCUACAAUGGCCAGUACAAAGGGCAGCUACCGGGUGACCGGAUGCUAAUCUCUAAAGCUGGUCUCAGUUCGGAUCGAAGUCUGCAACCCGACUUCGUGAAGCUGGAUUCGCUAGUAAUCGCGCAUCAGCCAUGGCCGCGGUCGAAUACGUUCCCGGGCCUU
rnacentral:rRNA from 1 species